ACCUGCCCACUUGGAGACGAGAAGUGAGCAGAGUAUAAAUUUGUUGUCGUCCUUCUGUGAGUUUCAUUCCGCUACAGAAGAAACUAGGAACAGUAGUUUUAAGACGGGAAGAAGAAUUUAUUUCUUCGGAGUCAAACUGUGUACAUACUCUCAAAAUCUCCCUGAAUUGUUUUGUAAGACUUUGUGGGUGGAUUGUGCACCCGAGACUUUCGCCACAAUUCUAUGAACAAGAGUUGACUUCCAGAAGCUAUCCGUUUAUUUCGUGUACAGCAUCUAAGGAAACCGUGGUGAAAGACCCAAACUCUGAAGAAAAUGAAAUGGUUUAUUCUGUAUUUCUUGGUUCAACUACUCUCAGGUUUCGUCAUGGGUCAGGUAAAGACACCUGAUUUGGAAAAAGAGGAACCUGCUGAGUGCCCUGGAGAGCAAAUCCAAGUGGAAAUCUAGUCCCCACAA